CUUGGAGUGCACUUGUUCUACUGAGGACGUUCGAAGAAGCGGAAGAGGUGAUCCGUUUUCCCAGUAAAGGUGAGUAAAGGUACACGAACAAAAUUUACUAAGUGUCUCUCUGAUAUUGAAAGGUUUUUUUAGGUUUAAAUUCAUGUAGAUGGUUGUUCAUAUGACUUCUGUUACUCUCACGAUGAGGUUAAAUGUUAUAAUUCAGAAUUCCCAGAUCCAGAGUGACUGUGCUAUCCUCUGUCCUCUUUAUUUCUGUCCUUCGAAAUCCCUGAAUAACUUGGCCUUAAGUUAAUCAGAUGCAUAAACCUAGCAUAAAAGUCCAUCAUUUUAGCUUAGUGGACUAAUAAAGUCUGAUGAGAGGAUCAGAGUUUCAGUUCAGAUUGUUGAAAUGUGUUAAUUUUUAUGGGGUAAGUUGACGUUAGGAGACCACUUAUUUUGGCAUGCUAUAUUAUCAAGACAGUUAUGUUUGCACUCAUUCUGUUAGUUUGCAGGGAUGCACAACUCUUGAAAUAUAUGCAGAUUUACUAGUUAGAGACAUAACUUUGAUUGUAUUGAUGUAGUGAUCUGAAAUAUGAAAAAUGGCUCAUCUUACCCCACUCUCCCCUGAACCUAACUGUGGUUCACAUUUUAGUUCAGGUUUAUUAAAUUUUGACUUUUCACUAUUGGUAGAAACUUUUCAAAACUUUCUUCAAGACAGAAACAUGAACUAUUUUCCCCAAAACUUUUGAAUACCUUGUCCAGACAGUUUUGUUACCUUUCUGUUCUUGAAUUUGGGACUCUAUGCCACUAAUUUUCUUUAAAAAUGAAGCAAUAGUGAUCUUCUUCAGUUGGGGUCACAGUCAGGGUAACGUGUCUGUCAUUAGAUACAUGUCUGGAAUGUCUGGAUCACAGAAACCUUCAGAGGAAGAGAAUUUACACUGACAGCAGAAAAAGGGGAAUCAGUCCUCCCUAAAGCCGAGCCUUAAUAUUUUAUUAUCUCUUCAUGUCGGAGUAGGUCGUCCAGCCCUUUUUGGUCCAUCUGUGUUUGAGCCAGAGAAUGAGGAGUAUAGCCCUCAGAGACACCAGCGGAGAGGAAACAGAAUGAUGUCAUGACAUAGCAGAGGGCGUUAUUGAGUUUUGAGGUUAGGAUUUGGCAGAUAAUUACGGUGGGAAUUGUUCUGCAAUUUAUUCUAAGAUUAGCCUUUUCAUACUUGAUCACAAAAAUCUAUCUGGGUCACAAGAAACAACGCAAUCAAGAUGUCUGAGAGCAAACGAGUUUGAUUUAAAGCACAUUUUUAAGUAUGAUAAAAUGUUUUGCUUUCCUCAUCUCGUUCCAGAUUUAGUCCUCCUCUGAGCAAAAGCGUCCCAUCUAAUCCCAUUUAAUGUCUAACUAUAACAAGAUGACAAACCAAAAAAAAGCUGCUUCAUGCUGGCAUCUUGGUGCGACUGUCAAGUUUUUAUGUGUCAGGAUACAAUGACAUAAUCUUUAAGGGGGGGAAAAAAUGUAGCAGUGACACACAGGCUUCGUCUGUCUUUAGGAUGUUGUGGAAAAUUUGGCUCAGAGAUUAAAGUUAUAAUUUAAGAUCCAAGAAGUGUUUCAUGUGUUUUCUCUGAAACGCCCCUCCUCUUUAUUGCUCUGUCAGAGUCAUGCUUAAUCCCCUCGCGCUAGCUUUGGACCCAAACACUGUGACAUAAAAGCUUUUCAAUUACCACAUAAAGUGCACGUCUUUACUCAUGAAGCAGCGUCGCACACUCUUGACUUAGAGAGACGUUAGACGGGGAAUUAGAUGUUAUCGUUUAAUGCCACUGAGAUCUUCUGACUUUGAAGCACUAAUGUAGCUUUACUGUGCUCUUUGAGGGCAUUUUAUGCUAAUAAUAACUUACUGUAUGUGUCGGCUUUGUGUUCCCCCUCUUAUAAAGACACUUGUUUGACUUUUCGCACCAUUUUAUUAGUUCUCUUUGUCUGUGGUUGACAUUAAAGUGUUUCUUAAGUGUUUCCAUGAUGCAGUAAAGCUCGCCUUAAAAUGCUUUUACAGACUUUACAACUAGACGUUGAAAUCCUUCGUCUUCUGCAAUGGCAAAAAGUUGGUCAUCAGGUGCUGCGACUUGGUUGAUUUUAUUCUGAAACUCUGUGGUGGUUAAACUGGAAGUGAUUUUCCUCUUCAUGGCGUACUUGUGGCAGCAGUUUUCCCCACCUCUUGAACAGUGAAAAUAUCCCCAACUGUGAUGCUGUUUUGACUCUUGCUAAAACUACGCUUGUUACUCUAAUUCUUCUCUAACCGUAACCAUAACAUUUCACCACCGUCUAUGUUAGAAUUUGAAGUCUUACAACAUCGCUGUAUUCCUUUCUGCAUUAAACCGAGCCCUCCCGCUGCACCCUGCAUUCAGUUUAUCACUGUCUAAUAUUUAGUUGAUGUUUUUCCUCCCAGUUACAUGGCAUAAAUACUCUUGACGUCCUGAUAGUACCCGUAUAAUUUGAUGAGCCGCAUUCAUGGCUGACUUAAUCUCUGAUUUAAUCUUGCAAAUGCUGCUAGAUUCCAGUUCAAUUAAAAAGCCAAACACUUCUGUCAUCCCUCUCCAGCAGCUGUGCAAAGGCAGGACAGAUGCAACCCGCAGCCUCGUCUCGUAAACAGUUGGGGAUCCAUCCAUGCCAAUUAUAACCCCACAACAGUUGGCUGAAUGGGAUUCAUUAUCUUAAGGUAAGCAAAAGCACAUCGUUUAGUACAGGAUUAAGCUGAUGAGCCAUCAUCAAACCAAUACUUGGAUAGAUAUCACAGCCGAGCUAUUCCUCAGUGAUCUCUAACCCCUGCAUGCUCUACCAGAAACGCCCAGCAGAGGCCACUGUGGCCUUCACAAGACCUUUGACAUCAGCUCCCAUCUCCCUCCUAGACUCACAGGUUACCUCAGCUUUAAGGCAGCUGACUGACACAAGAGGGCCCCUAAAAUGAUGCAAAUGAAAUGCCUUCUGAUGCAACAUUCAGAUUUUUGGUUUUCCAUUCAUAAAGGGUCUGCACAUGGUCUCUGCCCUGGCUUGAAAUUGUAGCCCAGUUUAGUAAAUAGACCCUGUGUGUGAUUGAUGAGCACACUUCAUUAAUUUUAAGUCAGUUCUCAGAAGUAAGACUAGAUUCAGCCUCCAUGCUGGCAAAGUUAUUCUGUUACUGUUAGUCAGAUUAUUCUUAACCAAACUGGAUCCCGUUUCUAUAAACUUUGCUAGCUGGUGUGUUGAUCUAAAGUCACAGAGUGAUCUAGCGAGGGCUGGAUUUUCCUCUUUUUAAGGUUGUACUUUAUUUUGAAUUGGUUUUCGCUAGAGUCUGUUCAUAGUAAUGGUCCUUCACUCUGGUUGUCACAAUUCAUAAACCGGAAGAGAGACAAAGAAAAUGCAGUUGCAAGCGAGCUAGCGGUAGCAGCCCUCUGAGACAUAAUCAGACACUUUUAAAUACUAACUCAAGAUUUAUUUUGAAUCUGAUAACGAUAUUAGGGCUUCUUUGAACUGUUUUUGUUCAGUUAUGUAACUUGUGAUCUAUUGGCUUGUACUUCAAAAUAAAAGCAUGAUUUUACAAUUCAGAAAAGAAAUCAAACUUAAUGCAAAAGAGAAAAAUAUCAAAACAAAAGCAUGACAAACAAUUGUGUUUCAAGGUACUGUCUUUUCCAUUAAAUUUCACUUACGUCCCUUAUGAUGGGAAAAAAUCAUGAAUUUGAAUAUUAUUAGAAACAGAUGAUGUCAUUUAAGUCUUUUUGCAAUUUUUAGUUAAGUUUAUAAAGUAGCGUAUUUAAGUUCCUCUCAAAUAUAACAAUAAUAUUGUUGUUACUGAUAUUUUAUGGCUACAAUAAUCGUGAGGUUUAACAUCUGACAUCUUGACGGCCCUACUUUGGGCAGUACCUGACCGUAAUUCCAACUUUAUGGGCUGGGGAUCAACAGGUGUGUCAAAUCCUAAAGGCCCUUUAAGAGUCCUAAAACAGCGUUAGGCCCAAGCAGCAACCUCCAGUGUUGAAAAAAAGGAAGUGAAAUUGUGUGAAACUGUGUUUAACUUUCCUCUUGAGGCUGACUCGAAAAUGUGGGAAAAGGCCAAAAGAUCCCACAGUGAAAUGUUCUUUUUAAUAUUAAAUUAUUAAAGCUAAGGGUUCAAUGUAAUUUAAAGGGCAUCUGAUUUGAUGGACAGGUUUCUGAGAUAAAAGUAAAUCAAAGUCAACAACCACCUUGGAGUCUCUCAUGGUCCCUCUUCAGAGACCCGUGAGCGGCAGUAGGACGACCACAUCCGUGUUUUCUAUGGUGUAUAUGAUUAGAUUCCACUGACUCCACAUGAGGUUUGCUUUGUUUGUAUUUGUGUUGUUUAGACUUUCAUGAUAUUAGAUGAGACAGUGCUUCAGUGCUCUUUGAGCUCCGCUGCAUUGUGCCUGUUCCUGCCACACUGUAGUGCCUGUGAUGUUUGAUAAAGCUGAGCCUCUUGUGUAACAUCUGUAGCUGCUGCAGAUUGAAUUUUUCUGUGCGGAUGCAUGAGGCGGUGUUUGCUCUCACUAACUGUAAUAAUCUUUGUUUUAUCUCUCUCUGCCCUGGUAUUACCUUUCACUUUACAAGGGGAGGACACUCCAGUGAGAAACAAUAAUAAUGUCUGCCCAUAAACAGUCAUUUGCACAGGCUGGGUAGCUCCCAGCUUACAGAGCAGCUAUAGGCACAAGAUGGAUGUUAUUGGCAGACGGAAGCUGAGAGGCGGUGCGUCUUAUCUCCCUUCUGAACACAACUAAUGUCCCGUAAGGAAGCAGGUGUGGACGGGGAGGCGGGGCAGGAGGGAAAAGGAUACGUAAAGCUUAAUGGAUCAGAAAUGGUGGCUGAGAGAUCAAUCUCCCUCUCUCCCUUUUUUCUACAUCUCUCUUUUGAUUGUUUCCGAUGGUUUUGUUUUGUGCAUGGAAGCGACAAGCUCAGGCCCCUCGAUGAGUCAAAGCCUCCGCUCCAUUCAACCAAUAAACACCCCAGGAAAUAUCACCACCAUUUGUCUUUGAAAUUAUCUUGCAUCCAAAUAGUGUUUUACGCCUGUUUGUUUUGUGCCUUUUUUUUCUACAAGGCGGGGUGCAAAAUAGCAACAGACUUGGAUGCUAAAUCUCUAACAACGUGCAGAUUUGCUGACAUGAAUGAUUACAGCGGGUUCACAAGCAACCGGUCUUUGUAGAUAAACACCAAAGUCUGUGUUUACUGCGGCAGGCAGAGGACAAACAUUUUUCAGCCCAGAACUGUAAAAGAAAAGUUUAUUCUCUAGUCUUUUAAGUUCACAAGACCACUCCAAACCGCCUUUUCUUGCUGAAUGCAACAACAUGUUUUGUUAAACAGUGUCGUCGGGCAGGAGGCGGUUUGUAAAAAGGAAGAAAUCAUUUAAGUAAGGCGGGGGAUCUAGCAGCCAAGAAAUAAAAGAUAAGAUGUGGAAUAUUUGUCCUUCAAAAUUCAGUAAAGUGUGCACAGUGCUCUGAUUGGCGAUGCGAAUUAUGGCUCUUUUUAGUGAUCCAGAUCAUUUGGCUCAGCUGAGCAGUAAAAGCUGGCUCUUCUGGCGUCUGAACAGCUCUUCAUAGUGUCAUUUUGGCUUCACUAAAUCAGCCGUUUGUUGCGAUGUUUUGACCUGUGAUUGGUGUGUGAAAAGUCCUCUAUAGUCUUACACCUGACGCUAAAAAUUUACGUUUUUAAGUGGUCUUAUUUCGGUUUGACACAAUGAAUUUAACUUAUACAGCUCCUUUCAAAGGACCCAAGGUCGCUUUACAAAGUGGAGUCAUAAACUAAUGAUACUAAGAGGAUGCAGGCGGUGAUAAACAGGGGAUGUUUGAGUGGUUUUAAAUGUGCCCAGUGAUGAGGCACUUUGGAUAUCUGUGGAGAGGUUGUUCCAGAGGGUGGGAGCUGUCCUGUGGCACUGAAAGCCCUGCCUCCAUGUGUACAGAGUCUGGUGUUUAGGAUGGACAGCAGACCAGUGUCUGAAGACCUGAGGUUCCCGGAAAGGCAUACAGGUGAAGGAGGUCAGAGUGGUAUCGAGGGGUUGGGGCUUAGAGGGAGUUUUUUGGUGAGGGGUAGUAUUUUGUAAUCGGUGCUGGAAUUCAUUGGAAGCCUGUGGAGGCGGAGAAGCGUUGGGGGGGAUGUGCUGCCAGGGCUUGGUGUGGGUGAGAACCCUGGCAGCUGAGUUUUGUACAUACUGGAGCCUGUCCAGAGAUUUGCUGGGUACCCCAGACAGGAGUUCAUAGCAGUCAGGAUGUGAUGAAAGUGUUUUUCAGACAAAAGAAGGCAGAUUUAAGGACAGAGGUGAUGUGGGAGUAAGAGGGAGGGUGGAGUCCAUAAUGACACCCAGGUUAUGGACUUUGGAGGAUGGACGGAUGGUGCAUCCAUCUAAAUCCAAAAUUAGAUUUCCAGCCUUCCUGAGCAGCGCCUUGGGGGCCACAAACACAAGCUCGGUUUUAUUGUUGUUGAGUUUGAGGAAAUUGUGUGACAUCUAGUUUUUUAUUUUAUGGAGGCAGGUGAACAGGGAGUGUGUGUGUGUGUGUGUGUGUGUGGGGGGGGGGGGGGGGUAGUAGUAGUUCUAAGGUGGAGCAGUUUGUCAUCUGCGUAGAAGUAGAAGUUGAGACUGUGUUGGUGGAUGAUCUGUCCCAGUGGGCGCAUGUAGAUAAUAAAUAGGAGGGAACCGAGCACAGAGCCUUGAGGAACACCACAGUUAACUGGGGCUGGAGGAGGGAGAGUGGGAGUUUCAGAUGGUGGCACACUGUCCCUGAAACCAGUAAAGAGCUGGUCCUGUGAUGCCAAAGUGCAGAUAAGCAUUGGAGGAGGACAUAGUAGGGGAUUGUCUGGACUUUGUGACAUGGUUGAAUACUGUCAAAUCUAAACUGUCUUGACUACAUAAUAAAAAAUUCAACCUUUUUUUGGUGUACCGCUUGUUCACAUGGUAAACUAAACACGUAUGCUUUUUUUUAUGCAGUCACAGCAAAUAAAAGAAAAAAAAAUCAAAAUUCGGCUUCAAGAUUUUCUAAAAGAGGGUCAGCAGAGGUAAUUAUAGUGAAGCGCUAUUUGUUCUGCUGAGCGAAAGUGGUGCUUAUUUUCCUUUUUUUAAGGUCUGAAGAAGUCUGAAAUUUGCUUUUAAACAGUGUAAAGCAACCCUAGAGUGUUCAAAUCUUUUACUUAAUUUCUGUUGAAAAAGUAAUAUCAUAUGAUUAAGCUCCAGUCCUCAUGUCUGUGGCCCUGCAGUGCCAAGAGAGGAUGGACCCUUUAUUCAGUCAUGCAUAAAAUAACAGACAAGGAAACCAAAUUCACACAAGAGUAGGUGCAAAUCAUCCGUGUACAAGAGUCAUUUUAGACAAACAAAAGACAACUUCUAACAAUACAGUAUAUUUUGUGCAGUAAAGCAGAAGCUAGAAUUGAACACAGAUACUCAGAGUUUUCUUUUAUCCUUGGACGCUUUAAUCUCCCUGAGAUGUUUUAACAACGUGUGUAUUAAAGAGGACAAAGAUGCAAACAAAGAGUGUCAAAUCGAAUCAAAGUGUGUGUAUCAGAGGGAUUUUGAAGGAGCUGUGAUGAUGAAAAUGAUGAAAUUGGUGUGAAAUGACAAAAAAGAUAAGCACUUAUUAUUUCAGCUGCGAAUCAUCAGCAGACCUCACAGCUGCAGUGUGUUUGGUGGCAAAUCCUCUUUUCUAUCUGCUGCUGUUUUCAAAAUAAAACAGUGUCUCCUUUCACUAGAUUCUGCGUCCCAAACUAUGGGGUCAAUUUUGGGUUAUGUUUUGUCACAGAGGCAGACAGCCUGGUAAUGUAAGGAUAACUCGCUGUGGAGGGCAUCAGGGACACACUGACUGAAAACUUUAUUUACAAGAUUCAGACUGAAACGAGGAUGAAGAGCAACACGAGUUCGCAGUCACACGUCUUUUUUGGCUGCGAGAAUAAAAGAAGCGAAAUCAGCGACGGCGACAGACACAUUCUUCAUGCUUCAGGGGUUAAAAAGACGCCCUUUGGGUCGAGGCCACAUGCUUCCAAUUAGGCCUCAAAUAGGCAAGAGGAAACAGUUGAUUUAAGAAUAUUACUGAAGAAUGACUCUAAUUAGACGAGAGACUAAGGGGCGCUGGAUGUGUCGGCGGCAAACACGGCCAGGCAGAAUUAAUCAGCAGCACCAACAUGUGCUUUCUGAGACCAUAGUCAGCGAAAACAAGAGGAUUAAAGGCGGUGAUAUUUGUUUACCAUAACACUUCUUAUAAAUCAUUGAAGAGAAGUUGAAAGGAGAAGAUGAAGAGAGAGGAGAUGAGAGAGACAUCUUGUCGCUUCUCUCUCAACAGCUGGAGCCACCUCACUAUUCUCACCUCAAAGUGGCUCAGCAGGAACGUGACUUUCAAACCAUCAGAGGGUUCAUUUGAAAGGCAAAUCUGGCUGAAUUGAAUGUCAGUGUGUUGCUCUACCCACAAAGCCUGGAUUUAUUAGAUUGAGAGGGCUGUGAGUCACUCACUCUGAAUAUUACAGUGAGGUAUAUUUAUUAAUGUAGUGGUGGUAAUGGGAGGUGCAGAAGAUCGUAUCUCUCAAAGGUGUUUUUAUUGGUUUAUUAGGAUCAGACAGCCAGAGGGAUAUUAAAUAUUUUGUUGCUGAUUCAAUUCAGUUGCUGACACAAACUAGAUUAAAAAACUGAACAACAGCUUCUCAAAAGUGAAGCCGAAACAUUGAGGGGGAGAACAAUUGGUCUCCUCUGUAUCAUAAAGAGAAAGGACGGAGGUCAAACUAUGAGGUCAAAAUAUCCCAAAUUGAUUCUGUUCACAAAGUUUUUAUCUUUAUAGCUCAUUUUUAUCGCCAAAAGUUUGUUUUUUUCUGUGAAGCAUAAGAGCAGUGUUCCUCGACUUUUCAUGCAGCCUCUGCACAUGAAACUGAGGGGUUGUGUCCUCUUCCUGCCUCAGGCUUCGACAUUUAAUGCACUCUCAUGGAGGAGCAGGGAAACAAUUAAUCAUCUUUGACAUAAGUGGUCCUGACUGAACCAUCCGUCCAGAGCGAUGUGUAAUUAACACAGGCAUGUGGGCUCGAACCAUAGGCUGUAUAUAGAAUGGACGCCGUCUACCUCCCUGUUGAGUGAGACCACUGCAGGAACAGCACCCUCUGUUGAUGGGCUGCAGUAUAGGUCAUAAAUCCCACCUCCUCCAACAAUCUCUAUGAAGCUGUGGACAAACUUUAGAAAUCUAUUACACAGAAUAUAAGUUUUUCUCCCUCCCUGGUUGUGAUGUUGACAUGUAGUUAUUGUAAGACUGGUUUGUGCUAAGUCCUCUUUUUUCUGUACUUUUCUGUAAGUUAUCAGGGGGUUCAUGUUUUUUGUGAUUGACACUUGAUACAGCCAGUAGGCGUACGAAGAUUGCAAACUGGAGGGAUACACUGUUUGAGCUGAGCGUCAUCGCGGCCACUCUUAGUGACUCUCCCACUUACUGUGUACAACGCUACUGCUAGGGUGACCACAUUCUGACUUACUGAAAAGAGGACACGACUACGCGGGGGCGGAGUCACAGUGUUGCAGGAAGUUAAUUAUGAGAGUUUUUCGUGUUGGAUUGAGUGUCUUUUACGUGCUUCUAACUCAGUUAGUCCACGUGACACAAAAUUGAAACUUAGGUACAAAACCGCAGACAUUUGAAGGAUUUUAUAAACUCCCCCAGACAAGGCCAGACAGGCUGGAUAGCCCCCAUAAAAGGAGACAUGUCUGGGUAAAAGAGGACGUAUGGUCACUCUAGCUACUACGCAAUGUUGGUUUUGUGAAGUGGAGAAAAGAAAACAGAAAUACUGAGAGCUUUUUGGCUUCAAAUCUGUAUACUGGCGGAAGGCAGAACCAAGAUGUCCAUACAGUCUAUGGCUCGAACCUGCAAGGAGGACUGUGGGGUAGAGCUAGCUCUGCUAUCAUUAGCUGCGCCUGAGAAACCCAUCUGAAAUUAGUGUCUUAAGAUCACCCUCAGCAACAAAGCGCUUUCUCUUUGUCUCUUUCUGUUUUAUACUGACUUGAGGAACAGUUUCAGCAGACUGUACCUAUAAUGCAGUUUUAUUGUGCGGUAUCAUUAAAGCCUUUAUUUCCUUGAGUGUUUUCAUUUCACUGUAAUGAGUUUAAAGGAAGGCUCUGAAAUCCUCCCUCUAACGCUGCCUGUAGCGCAUACCUCUCAGAUUUCCCUCAGUCACAAAUCAAAUCAGUCAGCCUCAUAUAAAAUGCUCCUCCGAUUUCAGUCUCUGCCUCCUGCUGGUGUAAUACUAAUCAUCACUUUAUCAAUUCACUUUGAUUAUGUAUUGCAGCAGCGGCUCCCCGGAGAGGUACUAUGCUUUCAAACAAGUCGACUGAAACUUUCAUUGCAUUUAUAUUCUGGCGCUGACUUAACCAGGUAGAGAACCACCUAAGAUGACUCUUUGUAAUUAUACUGCAAUUACCCAGCAGACUCAGCGAGCCGCUGGAAGAAGCAGCGUAUUUGAACCAUUAUGGGGCUCUGACAGCUUCACUUAAUUGAUUGAUGCACGGAGACUAACUGAUGAUUACUAUGCUGUGCGCUCGCAUGAAUCAUCUCACAAAGCCACACGUCACACUUGAGAGAGCACGGGUAUCUGGAGCAAAACUUCACACCUCACAGAGGGUGUUAAUACACACGCAAAUGUUCGCGUAUUAUCAUUCUGGCUGUGUGUGCAGGCGUACAGGUGUCUCUGUGAAUACGCCGAUCCAUUGUGUAUGAUUACCACAGAGGUUUCAGACAGAACAUUGUGUCUCUCUGCUUGACUUCACACACCGACUGUUUCUUACAAAAAAAAAAAUUCUGCUGUUUUCUUUGCAUUCCUUAAAUAGUUUCUGUCUCAGAGGCGUGAGUUCCUGCAGGACUGAGAGUGAAUGAUAACAGAGGCUUACAAAGCUCUGGUGUAAUUGACAUUUAUCCAUAUAUGGUUCUCCGUCUGUUCUUUCCAUUUACAAAUAAUAAAAGAAUGAUUAGAAGAAACUCAUAUUUUAUUGUUUUAAGAAUAAGAAAUAAAAGUAAACCGCUUCAUAAAAACCCAUGUGGGCAGAGUUUUGAGCUGUGUUGUUUUGGCCCAUUUUUCAGGAUGCUAAGGGUUCGGCUCAGGUGCAUGAGAGGCAGGUCAAAUUAAAAAGUGGAGUGACGCGUUUGUUUUGAAGUUUUUGAGGUUACAAGCUCACAAAAUUGGCGGAUUUUAUGUCGGGAGUAUUGCUUGGAAAUAAAUGGAAAACGUGUGUGAGAAGGCGAGUGCGGACUGGAGUGACGGAAAAACUGUCGAGGGUUGGGCAGGCAAACAAACAGAAGGAAAAUACUAUGACCUGAUUCUUCACUGUGCAAUUUCUCAACCAUGAAUCUUCAGUAAGUAUCAGAGUCCGUCAUGCUUUUGGUUCUGUGCAGCUUCAUGUCCUGACUGAUAGGGACAUGUGCAACAAAACCAGUUUGAUUGCAUUAUUUUAUUUCACUGCAAAGCCUGUUCGAAUACUUCAGACAUAAUCAUGGCAUCAGUCUUUUUAAUCUCUCAGUUUGUACGGUUGCCACAAAAUGUAACAAUACUCACAAUACUUAAAAGUUGUAAUCAUAGAAAACUACAACUAUACCAUUAUGAGUCUGUAAAAUGAUAGACUAAGGAUUCCCAUCAGUAUUUAUGACUUCAAUCUAAAACCCCGUCAGGACACAGAUACAGUGGUGUACAGUAAAGGAGCCACGUCCCCUCCAUUCAUGUGCACUUUGUCCUACAUAUUUGUAUAUUUCUCAGCAGAGGCGGCCGCCUUGGCCUUCAACUGCUUCCAGAUGUGGAAUGUCAGAGAUAAUCUGUCUUAGUGAAUCUUGAUGUGAGAGCAGGGUGUCCCGCAGAAGCUGAAGGUCCAGAUCCGGCUCCCAGAUAAUAGACACCCUACACGUGCAGAAAACAAGAGGAAAUACACACCUUGGCACACACAGACAUACAAGCACAAACACUGAGGCAUGAAGCCAGACAGUUUUCAGGCAGGAGAAGAGACCCCAAAGAGAGAAAGUCUAAACUAGGUUUAUAAAAAAUGUUAUCAGCACAGUGUGCAGAAUUUCUUUCAAUUUGGAGACUUGGAGACUUGAAUGGAAAAUAACUGUAAGUCUGUGGAGCUACAGUUUGCGCUGGUGCACAAAAAUGUCCUGGCUGCUAGAGUAGCUGGACUGAUAUAAACCCCCCCACACUGACCCUCAGGUGGGUACAGUCCACAGCAGAGCGAACUCUUGUAUUGAUCUGAUGCAGACACUCAUGGGAAUGGAAAGUUCAUUGACCCUUGUGUUAGUCUCUACUUUGCUUAUUUAGUACAGAACCCUGCAUGUGCCUCAUUUGUCAACAGAGCUGCAGUUCAUGAUGUCACCUCCCCUCUCUUCAAAGUUAGAUAACUAAUUGAAUGUAAAGUUUGAAGAAAAAUGAGCACAUACAUAAACAAAAUGGAAACAUAUAGAGCAUAUUUUUAUAGUUUGGCUCUUCUCCAAUCUAAUGGAAGCAAAGUUUAUGACCUAUACUGUGUACAGUCACUAGGGGGAGCUCUCAAUCUUUUAGCUUCAAAGCUGAUGAAUACUUAUAGUGUCCAUUUGUGUACUGUGUGUGGUGAAGGAUCAUCAUUCCCACUGGGUGCUUUUUGGUCUAAAAGACAUUCAAAUGUAGCCUAGACGACUGGUCUAAAAUCAGGCUGCCACAGGUCUAAAAAUUAAAGUUUUUUAGACGUCUAAAUUUAGAUAAAGCUUAGACCAAGUCUAAAUCUGGGCUGUAUCUAUACUACACUGUAUAUUGCUCGACGCUAUCAUGGUUAUUUUGGUUAAGUACUUGGAGAUUAGUUAUGCAACUCACAGUUGUUUUUUGAAAUAAAUACUUAUUGAAUAAUGGGUUAAAGUGCAACAUCUAAAUUCUGUCUAAAAUAUACAGAAUCUCGAUGGUUGAAAUUAGGUCUAAAAAAAACUAGACGUCUAAUAGCCGUCUAUUGCUCAGUGGGUUGUCAGGCAUCACAGGAGCCACUGUUGAUUCACGAUCAGGAGGGGCGAGCAGGGGAGCAUUUCAUUACUUCAUACACAUUUGGCAAAAAAAGAUUCAUUUUAGCAAGUGACAAACAAGCACAGAAAACAUCUCACAGACAGCAUUCUUUAAUUUAUUUUACAAAUAUGGACAUGCAUUUUAUCCAUAUUCAUUAUUAUGAUUCUUUUUCAGGCUGGUUUUAAAAGUCUGGCAGAUACUUAGCACAUGUGUGUAAGCAAUAUUAAGACUAAAAUAACUUUAUUUAGGGUUAUAUUACGAGAUGGAAUCCAAUUCUUGAUAUGAAACUUAGGCUUAAAUAACUACAAUAAGACUUCUGUCCACGCUCUUUACUAGUCAGAUCCUUAGCAGUCCACACACAUGUACGUUAUACCGCUUUUCACAACAGGAUAAAUCACUUCUGUGUGUUUCUUUUUAUGUAUGUGAACACUGUCAAAUGGUGAGCAUGUGUGUAUAUUAUGUUGUGGUUUUAUUCUUUCAUUGCCGUUCAUUCAUCCCGUUUAUCCAACUGUUUUUAUGUGUAUUGAUUUGAAGUGGUUUAUCACUGAUGGUUAGCAGAUGCUAUUAAAAAAGAGAGAGAGAGCAUAUAGGGAAGACAGAAAUCUCUGAUGCCGUUUGAAACGUGAGAACAAGCAUGUUUAAUUCGCCUUAUCGACAAUGCACAUUACCAAUAUGUCUCUCUGAGUUAUGUUCAGAAAAUAAGCAAACAUACAGAAUGUAUUGCAACACAGAGGAUGGAUUUCUGGAUGUUUUAGUAAAACUAUUUACAUUUGGUUUUCUGUUUUGGUUCGGAGGGGAAACAUUCAGUAUUGCUUUUCUUUACAGCUGGGCUCCAGGACCUUUCGCUGGCUGCUCUCCCACAGCCAACAUAAACAACCAAGGCUGUACGCCAUGUACCGGGCAUCACAGCAACCCAACGUGUACAUGGCAACAGAACAGAGCAGAGGCUGGGCGCUCGAGAAGCCCGUCGUCCAAUCCCAGUAAAGUUUUCCAAACUGGUUAAAGUGUCCAAAGUAAUCAUUGUAGUUUAGAGGGAAAACUUCUGAAAAAAAAUCCCCUUUACAAACACAAAUACGUAGAGAAUUAAUGUCACUGCUGUACUUCUGGGUAUUUUUCUGGCCGCAAAAACAAAAGACUGGCUUUGUCCGCGAGACAGAAUUUCCCUGGCACCGCAGCAGUCGUCAUAAUGUUUGGCAGCAAGUUGCGUUUAUGGACGACUUUUAGAGCAAGAUACACGUCCACAGAGGGUAAAAUCAUUCAACCAGGCCGAGCUGGAAACCUUCCUGAAUUAGCAUCUUCAAAACAGACUUGAAAGUACAUCCACAUCCGUGACAAGACUCUCACUCUUUUUCUACAGGCUGAACGGGAUAUCCAAGUAUGUUAUUCAAGGGCUCUCCGGUGGUAGAGGAGGCAAUGUGUCAAUAAGACGCCAGGUUGCAGAUCAUAAAGCAUAACAAGCUCACAUUUCUCAUAACAGUCUGCUUCUGCUUGAGGCAAAAUGGAAGCAUUUUGGAAGAGAGAAAAAAAAGAGGAGAAGAAAAAAUACUCUGUCAGAUGUUGGAUUCCAGACAUCGUUGCUCAUUGUCGUCUCUGCAGAGAGCAGAGCAAAAUUUGAGGCUCCUUUUCAAAGUCAUCCCAGAAAGUCUAAUGCCAAAUAGGUGGUUGGAAAUUACCAAUAACUUUAACAGUGAAGAUAAAUCAGAUGGAGACCAUAGCAGAAGUAAAUCUGAGUCAUGCUUCAUGUAUUUUCUUUGGUUGAUAAGUUUUCAUUUUAGUCUUUUUGUUUCUGAGUAGCUGACUUUGCUACAGUCGCUGACCGUAGCCACAAAGCUUUCUGUUCUUGCACAGCAUAAUGAUUUACAGAGGCAGUUUCACGCUACUGUUUCAGAUUUAUUUGUGUUUGAUUAUAGACAGAGUAAUACAAAAGCAGUCCUAUCAUGGUGACUAUUGGUGUGUAACUGAGGAUAAAACUCCCAAACCUCAAUCCCUGGAACAAAACAGGGCUGCUAACAUAAUGCCGUGGCUUUGACUCCAGUUUCAUAGACUGAAAUAUUACAGCACUAAAUGCAGUUUUUAUGAACCUUAAACCCGACUUACAAAUGUCCCUAACAAACUGUAGUCAACACUGUUGAGUUUUUUUUAUCUUCAGAGUAACGUAAAGGAAACGAAUUGGCUGGAUGCUACCAAAUGCAGCCUCAAAAAUGGAUAAACACCAGUCUUAGAAUCAGAAAUAUUCAGGAUCUCAGGUCUAAACUGAUCUGUAAGAUGUGUCUGAGGGUCAAGCAUUCAUCUAAAACAGAGUCAUGACUGGCCUAUCAACUCAACUCAACGCAACUUUAUUUAUAGAGCACUUUAAAUACAAACAAAGCUGACACGAAGUGCUGUACAUAACAUAAAAACAUAAAAGAUAAAACAACAAUAAAUAGUUUUUUAAAAAUAUAAUAAAAAAGCAAUAAAACAAUAAAAUUAAAACAAUAAAUCAAAUCAUUAAUGGCCUGUUUUUAAUGGGAGUACCACAAGGGUCUAUUUUAGGUCCACUAUUUUUGUCUAUUUAUAUUAACGUUAUAAUGUAUUCCCCCUAUCUAAAACGUUUUAUGACACCUGUUUUAGCUGAUCAUUGUUCACCUUCUGUUGACCUGCUCUCUCUUCUUUUCCUGUUCAACAUCAUUGUAAAAGAAGGUCAGUCCUUGAUGGUUUUCCAGUUUAAAUAAAGGUAAUAGCAUAAGUGUUCAGUGAUUUAAAUAAAAAGGACAUUGGUGGCCACAUGAAAUCAGGGUUUGGAGAGAAAUUAUUUAGUUCAGUCUCUCUUCCCUCCUGUUUCUGCUCAGUUUUGGGUCAGAUAAGUGUGUUUGGUAUCCCUGCAGAAGAAUGCAAAAAAGGAGUUGGUUAUUUUAGUACUUUUACCACUUUUCAUCGAUGGGAAUGCGAAAAAUUUGUUGGUUUAUUUUAGGCUUUUUUGUUGCACCAGUUGUUGGGGAGUUCAAUAAAAAUUGAAAUGAGACACUCUUCUAGUUUUGUGAAAAAGUCUGUCUGCCAUCCCAGAAACACCUUUAUCCACUUUUAUACUUUUUUUUGUUUGGUUUGAAUAACUUUUUACACACAAGUAUUGCAUCAUGAUAAGACAGUCUGAAACAGGCUGAUGGAUCUGCCAGGUUUUCUUGCAGUUCUGAAGAUGUGUAUUUGUAAGGUUAGCUAACAGUAGCAGUAGUCUCUGUUGAUUGUUUCCAUCCCCUGUCACCUUCCGAUCACUCCUACUGUCUUUCCUCCUAACUCCCCAACAAACCUUGCCCUCACUCUUGAGUAACUUUCCCCAAUUCUCGCCUUAUUUCUCGCUCUUUCAAUGGGUUCUUGACGUUCCUGAUCGUGUCUGGUCCGUUCUCAUCUGAUCUCUCUCUCUCUCUCUCUCUCUCUCUCUCUCUCUCUCUCUCUCUCUCUCUCUCUCACUCUCUCUCUCUCUCUCCUCUCUGCUCCCUUGCCUCCUGCCUCCUUCCUCCUCUCUCACAGAGAUGUGAGGAGCCCUGCCCGGGUUCUGGCCUCCAAACAAGCGGUUGCCUUGUGAGGCUCUGUUUGCUUUGCGAGGUGUUUUCUCACAUAGCGGCGUUUCACGGCCUGGCCCGGCAGAUCACACCUCUGUGUGUACGCUGUGUGUGUGUACAUAUAUAUAUAUGUGUGUGUUGAACACUCAGUAUGAAGUUUGUUUAUUCACUCAUAGUUUGGGCACAUUCUUCGCUGCGUAGAUGUAAGCAUGCAUCUGUGUGUGUUUUUCUGCUCUCUUUGUGCGCCGUGUGUGUGAGCAUAUGUUUACAGGACUUAGUUGUAUAUGUUUGGAAUGAGAGUUGCCCCCGGGUUGUGCGGGGGCACCUACGGCUUCACUCACUGGGUAACUAAUGAACGCAGGCAUGCGUGCCUUCCUGUUUUCUGUAUCAACAAACAUUUAAGAGAAAUCAGCAGGUCUUUACAAGGCUUUAUUAGAACAGCUAAGCAGAAAAACACCACCUAUCUAAAGUCCCUUUUAUUAAAAAUGAAGGUACAGAAAACAUACCGCCACAGCGAUCUUAUCUCAGGCUAAAAAUUUUGCGCUUCAUUAAAUAGGAUUUGCAAUUUUACUAUAAUUUAUUGAGAAGUAAAGCUAUAAAUGAUCAUGUAUGUAAGAAGGUUAUUGCUUUUGAACCUGUUAAAUCAACUAAUCAACAUUUUCAUCAAAAUAUGCUAUUAAUAAUGCAUCAGGGAUUUUUCUGCCACUGUAUUAAAGAUUUUAAAGUGAGGUCAAAAAGCUGAGGAGCUGCUGCAGGUACAUUUUUCAUCGAUACGACUGUUAAUAAUGUAUAAAAGCCAGACUUAUUAGAAAAAUCAUCAGAAGCUAGUGUUGGGGUUAAUGCAGAGGGUUUUACUCCUUUAUACGGUGAUGUAUUACUCUUCCCACGUGUACAACCCGAGCCAGGCAGCAGACUCGGCAGCAGACGGCUGCCAGACAUGUUUCAUACCUGCAGAACUCACACAUUGUUCCAGGUCGCCCUUGUUUCAUAAAGGGGGAUUUUUAAAGGGGAAUUUUCCUGAUCCAAAUCACAGUUUGAGGUUAGAGGGGGUUGUUAAACAUUGUAAUGGCCCUUGAGGUAUUUUUGGUAUUUGUAAUACGGGCGAUUCAACUUGUCUUGACUACAACUUUUUUUUGUCUCUAACUUUUUUACAGCAUUUUCCAGUUUUCUCUCUUUUAUUCUUCCACUCAUAACAGAGAGCUGCCAUUAUCCUGACCAGCUCCAUAUCAGUAACUCGAGGUUUUCAAAGCAUCGUUCGGCUACAUCCAGACAAGACAAGACAAGACAAGUGCUCCUUCACUCCCUUGAGGCUGUAUAAGCCCAUUAAAGUCAUCAUUGAUUAAGAUGUAACAUGGCGGAUUUAUAAAUAAUGGAUUAACCACACAAAUACAUUAAAAUGCAAUAUUCUCUGCCAUCGUAGAUACAGAUGAUUAUUUUUUUAUAUUUGUUCGAAUAGCUUUUUCACGCUCUGAGC